UUGAAUGGAAAAUGUCCCCACGCUUGGUCUUCAGCUGGCUGUGCUCUUCUGGGAGUUGUUGGGAAUGAUACCAGAGGCCUUAACUGGGGGAGGUCUGUGGGCCACCUGAUCGGAGGUGUGCUCAUCAGGAUGUUGGCUGGAAGUUGGGUUCUGGUCUGCUACAAGGAACAAAGUUCUUCCCAUAACAAAGGCAGGUGCUUCGCCUUCAUUGUCUAAGUAAACCCUAGAGAGACUC